UUGGAGCUGCUAGCUGUGGUCCACCCAUCAGCGCCUGCAGGCACAUGCUGAGAUUAGUCGAUUUCCUAAAAGUUGAAGGAAAAAUCACCCAGCUGACCUGUUUGGGUUAUGAUUUUAACUCACUAAGCUUUGGGGAGCUUUAUUACACAGCAGAAGCUAACUGGUGUAUUACUAUUAUUACUAUUAUUCUAAGAACCAAAUACCAGGCAAACCUCUAGGAGGAAAAUUGUAAUGAAAGUCACCUCAUUGAUUUGUGGCCGGGCUCAGUGGCUCAUGCCUGUAAUCUCUGAAUUAAUUCUCUUUAUCUUUCCAUGGCCAGUAAACAUUGAAAAAAAUUGCAAUUUCUUUUUUGUUUGUUUGUUUGAGAUGGGGUCUCACUCUGUCUCUUAGACUGGAGACUUUGCUUAGCUUGGGUCCUCAUUCCAGAAUAAUAGGAAGGCCUAACCGGUUCAACAAACCAUGGCUGUAAGGUAAUAAGCA
rnacentral:lncRNA from 1 species